rnacentral:rRNA from 1 species
CUGCGAAUGGCUCAUUAUAUAAGUUAUCGUUUAUUUGAUAGUACCUUACUACUUGGAUAACCGUGGUAAUUCUAGAGCUAAUACAUGCUGAAAAUCCCGACUCCGGAAGGGAUGUAUUUAUUAGAUUAAAAACCAAUGCCCCCUGGGCUCACUGGUGAUUCAUGAUAACUUCUCGAAUCGCACGGCCUCGCGCCGGCGAUGGUUCAUUCAAAUUUCUUCCCUAUCAACUUUCGAUGUUUGGGUAUUGGCCAAACAUGGUCGCAACGGGUAACGGAGGGUUAGGGCUCGACCCCGGAGAAGGAGCCUGAGAAACGGCUACUACAUCCAAGGAAGGCAGCAGGCGCGCAAAUUACCCAAUCCCGAUUCGGGGAGGUAGUGACAAUAAAUACUGAUACAGGGCUCUUUUGGGUCUUGUAAUUGGAAUGAGUACAAUUUAAAUCCCUUAACGAGGAACAAUUGGAGGGCAAGUCUGGUGCCAGCAGCCGCGGUAAUUCCAGCUCCAAUAGCGUAUAUUAAAGUUGUUGUGGUUAAAAAGCUCGUAGUUGAACCUUGGGCCUGGCUGGCCGGUCCGCCUCACCGCGUGCACUGGUCCGGCCGGGCCUUUCCCUCUGUGGAACCCCAUGCCCUUCACUGGGCGUGGCGGGGAAACAGGACUUUUACUUUGAAAAAAUUAGAGUGCUCCAGGCAGGCCUAUGCUCGAAUACAUUAGCAUGGAAUAAUGAAAUAGACGCGCGGUUCUAUUUUGUUGGUUUCUAGGACCGCCGUAAUGAUUAAUAGGGACAGUCGGGGGCAUCAGUAUUCAAUUGUCAGAGGUGAAAUUCUUGGAUCUAUUGAAGACUAACUACUGCGAAAGCAUUUGCCAAGGAUGUUUUCAUUAAUCAGGAACGAAAGUUAGGGGAUCGAAGACGAUCAGAUACCGUCGUAGUCUUAACCAUAAACUAUGCCGACUAGGGAUCGGACGAUGUUAUUUUUUGACGCGUUCGGCACCUUACGAGAAAUCAAAGUGCUUGGGCUCCAGGGGGAGUAUGGUCGCAAGGCUGAAACUUAAAGAAAUUGACGGAAGGGCACCACCAGGGGUAAACCGCUUCAUGCAGCCGCAGUAGCUCUGCUCCGAAAAGCAGCCCGAAAGGGUCGGUGGAUGUUCCCGCCGCGCUCCGGCGCGGCGAACCAAGUGCUAGUCUCCUCCGGAGGCGACACCCUCAAAUUGCGGGAAACUCCUAAAGCCAGCGACACCAAGCCGGCGUCGAAAGGACGUCGGUGGCCGGGGCAACGACCUAGGGUAUGGUAAAAGCGCGCCUGGAUAGUGCAAUGGACGAUCCGCAGCCAAGCCCCGCCGCCGCCCGGCGCGGGGAAGGUUCAGAGACUUGAUGGGGGUGGGUGCGAGACCGGGGCCCGGCGCCCGCGUCUCAAGCUUAAGAUAAAGUCCGUCUACUCGCGAAAGCGUCUAGGGGCGACCGACACGGGAGCCUGCGGCUUAAUUUGACUCAACACGGGGAAACUCACCAGGUCCAGACACAAUGAGGAUUGACAGAUUGAGAGCUCUUUCUUGAUUUUGUGGGUGGUGGUGCAUGGCCGUUCUUAGUUGGUGGAGUGAUUUGUCUGCUUAAUUGCGAUAACGAACGAGACCUUAACCUGCUAACUAGCCCGUGCUGCCCAGGCAGCACGCCGGC